CGAUGGCAGGUCUACAAGAGGAUUUUAUCUUCCAUAUUAUGACCCAGUGUGGGCAGUGGUGGUGACAUGGACUAACGUCGUACCUGACCCCCAUAUCUGCCCGGGAGGAUUCUGUCCUGUCGACAAUAGCAGGCUUCCGAGGAAUAGCUUCCAGUUGGUACUGUCAACCGACGGGACACAUUCGUUUGCUCACUUCAUCUAUCCCACGAUGAAGAUUGGUUGGGCAA